rnacentral:lncRNA from 1 species
CCGCCGCGAUCCCUGCGCACCACGGCCCUGCCCGCCACGGGGCGAGCCCGAUAAGAGGGCUGUGGACGUUCGGGUCUAGUUGGGAGAGACAGGGGUCCCUGACUCUUGAGCGGUCAGUCAUUUCCUCCCCAGUCCUUGUGGGUGACGUGGCUACGGUUUGGAGCAGCAAGCCCCCUCCCCGAACUAAAGGGCCUCUCCAAAGGUUAAGCCAGGGCAGUCAUUGAGGUCAAAACCAAUAUGUAGUUUCUUGACUGCAGGUGCCUGCACGACUCCCAGAAAGUCGCGUCUCCCCUAACCCCCAUGCCCAGGACCUGAGGACAAAGGUCUAGCGAUUGUCCAUCCCCUCCCCCAGUGAGGACAGCCGGGAAAGACCUGCCUUUGUUGUGUACAGGUGGUAUCUCACUGUGUUAUCCAGACUGGACUCAAAUUUCUGGGCUCCAAUGGUCCUCUCACCUCAGCCUCCCAAGUAGUCAGGACUACAGGUACACACUACUAACUCCAUGGCAAUGUUUUGAGGAUUAAAGAGGAGAGUGAUGACUAUCCAAACGUCAGAGAACGCAACUAUGAGACUAGAGACACUGGAAAACUAAAAAAGUAACGGGCCUUUGCUGACUCAGGGAGAUGAUUUCCCAAGAGGGAAGAAAACUGGAACCUGAGAAAUAAGUGAUUUAGUAAUGUGGCUGCUAAAAUACGGAAAAACUAGAAUGAAUGGCUUACACAUUUUUGAAAUGAAGUUAGAAGAGGGUUAUACUGUGAAGAAGAAUGAAAAAGCCAAACAUUUCAUUCAGGUAAGCAUAUCACAUAGGAGAAACUCUAGGUGACUUUGGUUUGGCAGUGAGUUUUUAGAUACAACACCAAAGCACAAUCCAUAAAAGAAAAGAAAGAUAGAUAAGUUGGACUUCAUUAAAAUGAA